AUUCCUCUGCUGGGCUUUCAGAGAGACGGGAGUUAUUUUCUUCAGAGUGUAGCCACUGGUAAAUUGCCCGUGCUCCAGUAAAUAACCUCACAUCCAUACUCAUGCAAAUGACCCUAGUUAAACUCAAUGUAAUACACGCACACACGUGUGCACACACACUGCCAGGCAAGUAGGAAGGGGGUGGGGAGGGGAAUGAGAGGGAGAUAAGAGGAGACAGAUGGCUCAGCAGUUAGGGCACUGGCUGCUUAUGCAGAGGACAUGGAUUUGGUUCCUUGUAUCCACGCAGCCAUCUAUAACUCCAGUUCCAGAGAUCCAAUGCCCUCUUCUGCCCUCCAUGGGUACUGCACACAUGUGUUGCACAUCAUAUAUAAAGGUAAACCGUUUUAAACAAUAAUUUAAAUUAUACAUUUUAAAUAAUUUUAAAUUAUUAUUAUUAUAUGUUUUUUGGCUUUCUGAGAUAGGCAUAUCCCUGGCUGUCUUGGAUCUCAGUCUGUAGACCAGUCUAGCUUCAAACUCAAAGAUCUGCCUAUUUCUGCUUUCUGAGUGCUGGGAUCAAAGGUGUGUGCUACCACCACCUGGCCUAAAAAUAAAUAAUGUAAAAAAAGAAGGUAAUGGAAUAUUAUAAAAAUAAAUUAUACACAUAUACAAAAUCAAAGAGCAAAUAAAAAUGUUUUAAAGAAGAGUCAGUCUUUCCUUCCCCUGCAGACAGCAGCAACAUGGAAUUGGACUUUUCUUGUCCCUACAAUGGCUAAACCUCUUCCUGUUGUGUGGAAAACUUCAUUUCCCUGGGACAGGAAGGUAAAUCUCAUCCCCCAGAAACGUCACCUCACAGACCCCAUGGACACCCUGCCUUCGCAGAGAGCAAGCACAUCUACACUGUCCAUGGUGGCUUUUCUCCAAAGGAGAAAAUCAAGUGACUCAUGCCCAGCCUGGCAGCCAGGACAACAAGGAGGACCUACUGAGAAGCUGACCCAGCAGAUGGCAGCUGGACCCAAGAGUGGCUGACCCUCACUCUCCCCGAGGCAGACAGUUCCAGCACGCAGCAGCAAAGCUUCUCCUGCAGCUGGCUUCCCAUGCCACAUAAUCGUGACUCAGCCCCUCUCUGACAGCUUCCAGGUUCGCUGGCCUAAUGGCAGCUCUCCCACAAAUAUAGACAGGCCUGCUUCCUCUCUC
rnacentral:lncRNA from 1 species